CCCGGGCUAAAGCCCCGACGGGAGGGGAUGGCUCCGCGGCCCAUCAGGUAGACGGCGGGGUGACGGCCCACCGUGCCGACAACGGGUAGCCGGGUUGAGAGACCGACCGGCCAGAUUGGGACUGAGACACGGCCCAGACUCCUACGGGAGGCAGCAGUGGGGAAUCUUGCGCAAUGGGGGGAACCCUGACGCAGCGACGCCGCGUGCGGGACGGAGGCCUUCGGGUCGUAAACCGCUUUCAGCAGGGAAGAGUCAAGACUGUACCUGCAGAAGAAGCCCCGGCUAACUACGUGCCAGCAGCCGCGGUAAUACGUAGGGGGCGAGCGUUAUCCGGAUUCAUUGGGCGUAAAGCGCGCGUAGGCGGCCCGGCAGGCCGGGGGUCGAAGCGGGGGGCUCAACCCCCCGAAGCCCCCGGAACCUCCGCGGCUUGGGUCCGGUAGGGGAGGGUGGAACACCCGGUGUAGCGGUGGAAUGCGCAGAUAUCGGGUGGAACACCGGUGGCGAAGGCGGCCCUCUGGGCCGAGACCGACGCUGAGGCGCGAAAGCUGGGGGAGCGAACAGGAUUAGAUACCCUGGUAGUCCCAGCCGUAAACGA
rnacentral:rRNA from 1 species